rnacentral:lncRNA from 1 species
AGGAAACGGAACGUUUUGUCCUUGCUGGCCCCUGCGCUCCAGCUCUUACUGCUGCGGUGGGACGGCUCCACGCGCAGGUCAGGGCCAACGCAGACCGACCCCGGCGCUCGGCUCGUGACACGCGGGACGAACGCCAGGAAAACCCCGCAGGUCUUCACAGGGUGGUGUCCACAGUUCCUGCACGUUGCUCUCCAGGUGGCCGCGUCUGCUCCAGCCAGCCGCCCCACGCGCUGCCCUGGGCCACAGGCGUCCGCUGCGGAGGCAAGUGGAAAAGCAGAGCCAGCGCUCCCACAACGGACAUACUGACAGAGAGAAAGGGACUUGUUUGAGACGUCUGUCUGGGCUCAGCUCACAUGAGUUUGGUCCCAGAAGUGUGGUAAAGCCUGGUGGGGUGGAGGUGCCUGUGGGCUGCAGAUGCAAAAGCAUUUCAGGGCAGACAGGCCAGGGAGAGGGAUAAAAAAGAACGGGAAGGGGGCAGAAGGGAAGGGAGUAGGUAGACGCGGGCACAUGUGUACGGAAAAGGCAGAGGAUUAGGCCAGAAGACCAUGGUGUCUUCCAGAGUUUUGGAUUGGGAGGUAAGCAACAACUUUGACUCUUACCUCUUUUGCUGCCCAUAGGCAUCCGGAAAGCAGCUGAGAAGAGUCCCAUGCCUCUCUGCCGCCAGCAUCACAGGUCAUGCGAGCAACACUGGCUGCACACAGGCAAGGCAUUGCAAUGAUACUGAGCCUGCUGGUGAACCAAGGAGCUGGUGACGUGAUGCCACAUGAUGAAGUUUCUCUUUUUUCAAUAUUUCUUUAAUUACCAAUGCAAAUUUAGUUUGUCCUUGAUGCAUACUUUGUGCACUCUUUAAUCACCUGAUUUAAUUUUUGUCCAGCACCCUUGUGCCCAGUAAGCAGGCUGGUCCUGCUCUUGGGACAAGUGAGGCUGGCCAAGGAAGGCGACUGCUGCCCACGGGAGCCUGGCUGUGUUUGAUAUCCAAAAUUAGUGGUUGUAAUUAUUGCAACAUUCAGUUAAGAGCUCUGUCUUAAUGCAUCUGAGCAAAACAAUCAGAGUUAAGAUUGCAAUAACCACCUUAAUUUUAAUAUUUCCUAACUUUGAGUGCUUGGCUGUGAAACAAAAACAUUAUUUUAUGGUAAACUUUGGUGUGAUUUUAAUUAUGCUGUAGUUUGCACAGUUCAAAACGACAGCAUGUUCUAAGGGGCUGUGCAGACUUUUGCCCAGGUGGGCCAAGGAAAGGCAUGCACAGAAUCAUUUUGGCCUCAGCGCUGCUCACUCCAGGACGCUGACCAGAGGCUCGUUGGAAGUGUUGGAAGGGAGCCCGGCGCAAGCCUGAGCAAAGGGGUAUCUAUGGCAGACGAACAAUUGCUCAACACAGCUCUCUUCUGUAAUCAAAGCUGGCUCCCUGCCUUCUUUCAGAAAAGCUUUGAUUGAUCCCUGCAUUUCAGGACCAGGGAGAC